rnacentral:rRNA from 1 species
CCUACGGGGCGCUGCAGUGGGGAAUAUUGCACAAUGGGCGCAAGCCUGAUGCAGCCAUGCCGCGUGUGUGAAGAAGGCCUUCGGGUUGUAAAGCACUUUCAGCGGGGAGGAAGGCGGUGAGGUUAAUAACCUCAUCGAUUGACGUUAACCGCAGAAGAAGCACCGGCUAACUCCGUGCCAGCAGCCGCGGUAAUACGGAGGGUGCAAGCGUUAAUCGGAAUUACUGGGCGUAAAGCGCACGCAGGCGGUCUGUCAAGUCGGAUGUGAAAUCCCCGGGCUCAACCUGGGAACUGCAUUCGAAACUGGCAGGCUAGAGUCUUGUAGAGGGGGGUAGAAUUCCAGGUGUAGCGGUGAAAUGCGUAGAGAUCUGGAGGAAUACCGGUGGCGAAGGCGGCCCCCUGGACAAAGACUGACGCUCAGGUGCGAAAGCGUGGGGAGCAAACAGGAUUAGAUACCCCAGUAGUC